CCGCACUGAGCAAGGACGUCGCUCGCCCUGGCUGUCCUCCUCAACCCCCUUUUCUUCACAAGUGGACGAUACAUUUGUUAUUUUAAAAAAUCUCAAUCUAAAUAUUUUUAAAAGUUUAAUGUUUUGCGUAACGGAUGUAGUCCUAAAUGUCAAAAAAAACCCCACGAAUUUUCCUUGCAGUCCUUACGAACGUGAUGGAAAGCCCUCCGCGUGGUGGCAUUUGGAACCUUUAGAGCUCUGGGCAGGAGGUGGUCACAAAAUCUCACCCCGGCCCGGCGCGGUGGCUCACGCCUGUAAUCCUAGCUCUCUGGGAGGCCGAGGCUGGAGGAUUGCUCAAGGGAGAGGCAGAGUCCCCAACGAGCCUGUGACAUCGUAGGAAGGGAUCCAGUCAUCAGGUUUCUAAGAGGGAUUUGCUUAUUGGAGAUUCAUGGUUGUCAGAGGAAACUCCCUGUCUGUAACUUGAGCGCUCCGCGGCCACAGAGUGGACGGUGACCGGGACUAGCAGGCGCUCUAGUUUCUUCACCUUAAAAAAGGAGAAUGAAAAUAUUUCCUCCUCAGAGACACCCGGCCCGCAGCGUCUGUCUCAGUACUCGCCUCCCAUGCCCGCCCGGGGCUGUGCUGUUGAAGCUGGUAUCCCUGGAAACCAGCAGAAGGUCAGGAACACAGUGGGUCUUCAGCAGAUGUUUGCGGAAUGAAUACAUUUUUUAAAAAAUCAAUGUUUUUCAGAAAAUAACAAGCAUUGGUGAGGAUGUGGAGAAAUCGGCCCCCUUGUGUGCUGCUGGAAUGUAAACGGUGCCGCUGCUGUGGCAAACACUGUGCGCUCCCAUAAAAAGUUAACUAGAGCCCAUGUGACCCAGCAAUCUCGCCUCUGGUAUAUACCCAGAAGAAUUGAAAUCAGCGCCCAAGCCCCGUUUGCCCACCCAUGCUCACAACAGCAUCAUCACACUGCAAAUGUGGAAGCAACCCACGUACAAUGACAGCUGAAUAGAUAAACAAAAUGUGGUCUGUCCACACAAUGGAAUAUU